rnacentral:rRNA from 1 species
AGGACGAACGCUGGCGGCGUGCUUAACACAUGCAAGUCGAGCGGUAAGGCCUUUCGGGGUACACGAGCGGCGAACGGGUGAGUAACACGUGGGUGAUCUGCCCUGCACUUCGGGAUAAGCCUGGGAAACUGGGUCUAAUACCGGAUAUGACCUCCUAUCGCAUGGUGGGUGGUGGAAAGAUUUAUCGGUGCAGGAUGGGCCCGCGGCCUAUCAGCUUGUUGGUGGGGUAAUGGCCUACCAAGGCGACGACGGGUAGCCGACCUGAGAGGGUGACCGGCCACACUGGGACUGAGACACGGCCCAGACUCCUACGGGAGCAGCGGUGGGGAAUAGUUCGCACGAAGUAGGGCGAAGACCGUGA